rnacentral:rRNA from 1 species
UACGUAGGGGGCAAGCGUUGUCCGGAAUCAUUGGGCGUAAAGCGCGCGUAGGCGGCCCGGUAAGUCCGCUGUAAAAGUCCGGGGCUCAACCCCGGGAGGCGGGCGGAUACUGUCGGGCUAGAGUCCGGAAGAGGCGAGUGGAAUUCCUGGUGUAGCGGUGAAAUGCGCAGAUAUCAGGAGGAACACCAAUGGCGAAGGCAAUCCCCUGGACCUGUACUGACGCUCAUGCACGAAAGCGUGGGGAGCAAACAGG